AUUGAACGCUGGCGGCAUGCUUUACACAUGCAAGUCGAACGGUAACAGGGUGCUUGCACCGCUGACGAGUGGCGAACGGGUGAGUAAUGCGUCGGAACGUGCCGAGUAGUGGGGGAUAACGCAGCGAAAGUUGUGCUAAUACCGCAUACGUACUGAGGUAGAAAGUGGGGGACCUUCGGGCCUCACGCUAUUCGAGCGGCCGACGUCUGAUUAGCUAGUAGGUGAGGUAAAGGCUCACCUAGGCGACGAUCAGUAGCGGGUCUGAGAGGAUCGAUCCGCCACACUGGGACUGAGACACGGCCCAGACUCCUACGGGAGGCAGCAGUGGGGAAUUUUGGACAAUGGGCGAAAGCCUGAUCCAGCCAUGCCGCGUGUCUG
rnacentral:rRNA from 1 species